UUUAGUAAAAAGAAAAUUAACGAGCGAAGAUUAAGUCUAUUAAUGAGUACUUAGUCUCUGCCCUUCUAUGACUUCGUUAAUUACAUUUAACAACAGGUUGCAACACCGACACAUAUUUGUUACACUCAACACUAUGGCGAGAAAUAUUGCAAAAUUGGAUGAAAAUGUAUUGGGUGUCGGUUCAUCUUUAACUAAAUUUACUUAUGACUUGUACAAUACCCUUAAAACAUAUGAAGGCGAAGACAAAAAUAUAUUUGUAUCUCCUUACAGUAUUUUUGUUGCUUUAUCGAUGGUAUACGCUGGAGCCAGACAAAAUACUGCUUCACAGAUGGAAAAAACACUCCAGAUUGAUGGAUCAACAAAAACAGUGGUUCAUGAUGCCCAUAGAAAAUAUAUUAGCCUGUUGGAAGAAAUUAAAAAUUUUGACUUGCAUACUGCAAACCGUAUGUAUAUCAACAUUAAUUUUGAGCUACUUACUAAAUAUUUUGAAGAAAUCAAGAAGAUGUAUCAUUCUCUCAGUGAAAAUUUGGAUUUUGGCCAAGCACCGAAAGAUGCUGCUAAGAAAAUUAAUAACUGGGUUCAAGAUAUUACAAAAGAUAAAAUCAAAGAUAUUAUUCCUGAUGGUUAUUUAAAUUCUGAUACUGCUCUUGUUUUAGUGAAUGCUAUAUAUUUUAAAGGAAACUGGGGCAAUAAAUUUAAUCCCAGUUUGACAAAAUCGGAAGAUUUUUUCAAAAGUUCAACAGAGAAAGUUCCAGUUGAUAUGAUGUUUAUAAAGAAAUCAUUCAGAUUGAGACAGGAUUCUAAACACGAUUGCCAGAUUCUAGAGUUACCUUAUGAAGGUUCUUGCCUGAGUAUGUAUAUAAUCCUACCAAACCAGAUUGAUGGCAUCGAAGCAUUACAUAAAAGUAUAUCGUCAGAUUUUCUUCAGUCCAUUAUAGAAAACCAGCAAUUUCACUCUGGGGAAGUUGAAGUAAAGCUACCAAAAUUCAAAAUGGAAUCUAGUUUUGAAUUAAAACAACAUCUGGUAUCUUUAGGAAUGGCAGACCUUUUUGACCAACAGAAAGCUGAUUUGUCAGGUAUUAGCAAUUGCCCUCUCUACGUCAGUGAAGUAUUUCAUAAAGCAUUUGUGGAGGUCAAUGAAGAAGGUACGGAAGCAGCAGCAGCAACAGCAGCAAUUGUCAUGACUCGGUGUGCAAUGGUGAGGAUGCCACCACUGAAAUUCAUUGCAAACCAUCCUUUUGUGUUCCUUAUUGUUGACAAAAGAUCACAAAUGAUUUUGUUCAUGGGAAAAUUAAAUAAGCCUUAAACUUAUUUUAUGUUCCAUGACAUUAGAAUUCUUUGCACAAUAUCCAACUAAACUGUAAUAUCAAAAUAUAUUCAAAUAUCUUCAAUAAUUUUCUUACGAUUAACAUUUAUGAAAUAUGGGAAUGGAAGGUGAGACUUUAUAAACUGUCACCAAAAUCUGUUAUACUAACAAGCUUAUUGCACUGCUCAGGUUUAUUUAUAUUAAGCUUAAUGCAUACACUGCCCAGGUAUGUUUAUAUUAACAAACCUCUUGUAUACACUGCCCAGUGUGUCAUUCCAUUGUUUUUAAGACCAUAAAGUUUGAUUUGAGAGAGAUUUGGCUGCUAUUUCCAGCUAAUUGAGGGACCAUGUAGUGGUUCUCUUGUUGGCUUGUACAGCUGAUUGUUAAUUGAAAUGGUAUUUACAAUAAAAAAAUGAAGACAUUUAAUUGGCAUAAUGAUCACCCUGUCACAUUUAUCUAGGGCCACAUUAUUCAGUGUGUCAUUCCUUUUUUUUUAAGACCAUAAAGUUUGAUUUGAGAGAGAUUUGGCUGCUAUUUCCAGCUAAUUGAGGGACCAUGUAGCAAUUCUCUUGUUGGCUUGUACAGCUGAUUGUUAAUUG